AAAUUAGUGAUCAACAGGGAGGGAGAAGAGAAAGCAAAACAAGUCAAACUUUUGAGAAUAAGAGAAUGUCAUGUAUCACAUCCAAGGGUGUUACAGAGACAUGUUAGCUGUUCACCAGACUGCUUUGCUUUUCUCUUGGGCAUUGAGCCGGGUCCAUUUCCCAGCUUACUUCAUUGUCUGCGGAGGCCUCGUGACUGAUGAAGGCCUGGUUCACGUAAAUCUCCCUGUCAAUCCUCCACUCUGUCUACCUCCUAUGCCUGCUGGACCUUGGUACUCAUCGUGACUGUGGACGCUUGUGGUGACUUUGCUCACCAUGUGUUUAUGAUGUCAAAACACAUGAGACUGGGUCCCUGAAUGACUCUUUGGAGCAGAGCUUGCCUCCCCACCCCAUGGUUUCACUAUUGGAAGAAUAUACGGAUGCUCUAUUUCCUGAGGCCUUUCUUAUCUGAAGUGUUGCUUCAUAUGACAACUUGAAAGGCACACAGUUCGUGAGUUGCAAAAUUUCUACUUUAAAAUACAACUAUGCACCUCCACUAUCUUCUGGCAUCUAAUAUGAGGAUGCUUUCUGAGAGGAAAUGCAUGAGCUUCAUCUGCUGUAUUUUGCUGGACGAGUUCUGCCUACUUCUAACUUCCUUAUAAGACUAUGGAAAUGCUGAAUCACAGUGACAACUGAAUGGGGGAAUGAAAACCAGGAAUAGAGAAGGGUUUCCUUCUCUGUUAUUAAGGAUGAUAAAGCAUCAUUCUGAGAGAAGACUUGCAAAGCUACAUCUAGGGAACCUCUGUCCACUGAGAGUUUAACAUUAAGAUUAUACCAAAUUUAGAAUGCAAGGGCUAGCAGAGAACUUAAAAUUAUCUGCACUUAUUUCUUUAUUUCAGAUGGAAAAACUGAGACCCAGUUAAAUGAAACGGCAUGUGCACUAUGAAGCAGUUGGUAGAAGGAGUGAAAAAGUACCCCCCUCCCCACAGUCAGGCUCAGUCCCAUGAAAUUCAUUCCACUAUGGUAGUCAGAUCAUAUAGUUAGUGUCAGACAAGGCACGCACACCAUUAGCCCCAGGGAUAUUGAAUGUUUCUGUGGUCUUUUAAAAUUUACAUGUACAUUUGCAUUGCCAGUAGGUUUUUUUGCUUUGUUUUGUUUUUUGAGACGGAGUUUUGCUCUUGUUGCCCAGGCUGGAGUGCAGUGGCAUGAUUUCAGCUCACUGCAACCUCCAUCUCCUGGGUUCAAGCAAUUCUCCUGCCUCAGCCUCCCAAAUAGCUGGGAUUACAGGUGCGCACCACUGCGUCAGCUAAUUUUUUUGUAUUUUUUGUAGAAAUGGGGUUUUGCCAGGUUGGCCAGGCUGGUCUUGAACUCCUGACCUCAGGUGAUCCCCACGUCUCAGCCUCCCAAAGUGCUGAGAUUACAGGCAUGAGCCACCACGCCCGGCCUGCCAGUAGGCUUUUAAUAUCUCAGAAGAUGCAUGAAUGUAGAGUAUCUUCUAGAGAUAAUUUAAGUUCUGUACAUAUUAAGAAAUUUAAAUACCAGUUAUUUACAUUCUGAAAGACCAUUGAUGAGAUCACACACCUUGAUGAAUUCUUACCUACAGUUCCUGAAGUCAUGUCAAGAGGAUUACCAGUCUCUUCUUCAAAGCUUUGGACCUAAGAUACCAAAUGCAUCAAUGUCAUUAGAAAUUUUGUCAAAUAAAUUCACUUAUUUUAAUCAACAUAUAAUGAGACUGGCAACUGAUAAGAGGGAUAAACAUGAGUUCCUGAACUCAAAUAACUUGCAAUCUGCUGGCAGGAGGUAGCGGGGACAAGGUACCCAUGAUGAAGAUUCAAAGAAUUAAAGAAGUUGAGGAAAGGGGAAGAUCACCUCUGGAUGGCAGGAUCAAUGCUUCUUCUGGAAGAUGUGCAUUUGAAAGAAAUUUACAUAGUAAUAUUUCUAUUCUAGAUUUUCUUUUUUUUUGCUUCCAAAGAACUUUAAGUAUAUUUGGAGAAAGUUAAUUAGGACUUGAUAAAUUUAUGGAGAGUAAAUCAGAAAAUUUAGUUGCUAUAUAGUGCUUAGACAUUUUAAAAAAUUUUAGUUUCCAAAUUGCUAGAAGAAAAUUUAUUUUUGAAAUUUUUAAAGAAAUGAAUAAAUACUUCUGUACUGAUGAAAAUAAAGUUAUCGUUAAACAAAAUAAUGCAUAUUACUUCUAAAAUAGCAAUACAGCUAAUUAUAGAAACUGAUACAUAGAAAAAGAAGGUAAAAAAACAAGGCUGGGCUUGAUAGCUCAUGCUAUAAUCUCAACAUUUUGGGAAGCCAAGGUGGGAGGAUCACUUGAAGCCAGGUGUUUAAAACCAGCCUGGGCAACAUAGUGAGACCCCAUCUCUACAAAAAAUAAAAAGAAGGUAAGAAAACAGUUACUGUUACUCCAAAAACAUUUUGGAGUAUUUCUUUGCAAGUUUUCUUUGAUAUACAUUUUUCUGGAUAUUGUCAUGUAGUCAAAUUUUUUCUCUCAAAAAUUUGAAGGCAGAAUUUUUAUUCCACAUCAUAAGAUUUCUUUGAAAACAUCAUCUUUAAUGACAGGACAAUAGGCUGUUCUCAGGAAGAACAUUAGUUUACUUAACAAUUCUCCCACUUUUGGAAUGUUUUCUAAACUUUGCAAUUAGAAAUAAUGUUGAGGUGAAUAUUCUUGUUCAUAAAUCUGUUUCUACAUGUCAUAUUACUUAUUUGGAACUGAUAUUUGAGUACAGAAAGCUGAAUCAAAGGACAUGAACAUUUUAAACAUUGUGGUAUAUAUGGCCAAAAAUGACCUCUAACCCAGGAAUAGACUAGGGACCAUGAGGAUAUAGCUCAACUGUAAUAAGAAGAAAUAUUUAAUGUCUCUUUUUAAUCCUUCACAUCUUUUCUUUUCAAAUAAGUUACUUUACACUUGUAAUCUAUUAGACAUACUUCUUAGCAUUAAUUUCACUGGUGUUGGUAACUCAAAUCAGUGCACAUUAUAUGCAUUUUUCAAGUGUAAUAAAAAGUUUUUGCUAUGACCAUUAUCAUGGAGAAAAAUCCACUUAGGGCAAUGUGAAGCACAAGUUUGUCUUUUGAAAAAAAAAGGAAAAGCCCCAUUAAUUUAAAAUGAAAGCCAGGUGUAUUCCUGGGCUAUUCCACCUGAGCCAAACUUAUUAAUUAAUAAAAAAUAAAAUAAAGAAAUAGUUAUAGCUUUUGAAAUAUUCCCCACCUAAUCAAGAUGUUGACUGGGAUUGUUUAAUAAUAUGGUUAAUGUUCUCACAUGUGACUUCUAGAGAAUAGGAUGCUUAUAUGCAAACAGGAGAGAAAGCUAAAAAUUAUUUAUUAUGGAUAUGAAGAAGCAUCCUACCUUGAGUUUACAAUUGCACAAAUUUUACGAGUAUCAAAUUCACUUAACGUAUUUAGGAAUUUAAAAAGAGAGGGGGCUGACUCAAUUUUACUAAGUAAAAUUAAACAAAAAAAUGUUGAUUUUUCCAUUAAAAAAUCUAUGCACAAUUUUGUUGAAAUUAUACUUUUGAGAAGUGAGACAAACAUUGCCAAAUUCAGCUUUUAGUACGACUUUAGGGAAAGCAUCAUUGGUUGAUCUGGAGGCAAAAUUUGGCCAAUCAUACUUGAAAUUCUGAUAGCUAGAUAUUUAAGUACAUUGGCUCUUGUUUUAAAUGCCAUGAAAAUCUGCCAAUUUCACACAUAUUUUUCAUUUCUUAUAAUUGGAUUUUAAAAUUUGACAUUGAAAAAUAAAUAUUAAAUCUGGCAUAGGCUUCUGUUUAAGAUGCAAUCUACCCAAGCUUCAUUUACUCAUCCACUGGUAUUGAGUGAAACAAAUAUUUUUUCCCCAGUGAGAAUGUAAUAUUUUAUAUGCACUUUUUAUUAAAAUGAAAUUCAAG